UACGAAGGGUACAAGCGUUAAUCGGAAUUACUGGGCGUAAAGCGUGCGCAGGCGGUGAUGUAAGACAGUUGUGAAAUCCCCGGGCUCGACCUGGGAACUGCAUCUGUGACUGCAUCGCUGGAGUGCGGCAGAGGGGGAUGGAAUUCCGCGUGUAGCAGUGAAAUGCGUAGAUAUGCGGAGGAACACCGAUGGCGAAGGCAAUCCCCUGGACCUGCACUGACGCUCAUGCACGAAAGCGCGGGGAGCAAACAGG
rnacentral:rRNA from 1 species